GAGCAGGGGAUGGGCACCGGGGCGGGGGUGGCACCGGGAGCGGGGCCGGGUUGGGAUGCUGAGCUCCCGUGUCCCCCCCUGAGCUCCCGGUCCCUCCGCAGCUCGGCAGCAUGAACCGGAUCCGCAUCCACGUGUUGCCAUCGAGCCGCGGGCGCCUCCCGCCGGUGCCGCGGGCGCAGGAGCCGCUGGCGUGUGCGUUCACCCCGCGGGCCUGCUCCCAGCCCCGCCUGGACGGGCAGGACUUCUGCAUCAAGCACAUCCUGGAGGACAGGACCGCCCCCUUCAAGCAGUGCAGUUACGUGUCGGCCAAGAACGGGAGGCGCUGCCCCAACGCGGCGCCCAAGACGGAGAAGAAGGAUGGCACCUCGCUGUGUGCCGAGCACGCCCGGAGGAACGCGCUGGCGCUGCAGGCGCAGGGCAGGAAGCCGCAGGCCGGCGCAGGGAGCGAGAGCCUGCUGUGGCAGCUGAGUGCCUAUGCCCGCGCCGAGGCGGGCGCUCAGCCCGCGGAGGGCAGCCGCAGCGAGGCCAGUCGCAUCCUGGAUGAGGACAGUUGGAGCGAUGGGGAGCAGGACCCUGUCACCGUGGAGCAGACGUGGCGAGGGGACCCGGACAGCGAGGCCGACAGCAUCGACAGCGACCAGGAGGAUCCCCUCAAGCUCUUUCCCAGGCACGCCGGGGUGUACACGGCCGAGGAGGUGGCGCUCAUCAUGCGGGAGAAGCUCAUCCGCCUCCAGUCGCUCUACAUCGACCAGUUCAAGCGCCUCCAGCACCUCCUGAAGGAGAAGAAGCGGCGGUACCUGCACAGCCGCAAGGGCGAGCACGAGGCCAUAGGCAGCAGCCUCCUGACGGGCGCCGAGGGGCUCAUGGCCAAGGAGCGGGAGAGCCUCAAGCGCCUCAAGUGCCUGCGGCGCUACCGGCAGCGCUACGGGGCGGAGGCGCUGCUGCACCGGCAGCUCCGCGAGCGCCGCGCCCUGGCCUCCGAGGGCACGGCCCAGCAGGCCCACACCACCCGCUCCAGCCAGCGCUGCUUGGCCUUCGUGGACGACGUGCGAUGCUCCAACCAGUCCCUGCCCAUGACCAGGCACUGCCUGACCCACAUCUGCCAGGACACGAGCCAGGCGCUGUUCAGGCCGUGCCGGGGCUCGGAGGACGUGCCCUGCUCCAGGGCCGUGCCCCUGAGCCUGGGCGAGGAGCCGAGCUGCCCCCUGCACCUCCGCCUGCCCCCCCCCAUGUACGUGCCCGAGCAGGGCCCGGGGGGGCCCGAGGAGCUGGGCGCUGCCCCCACCGAGCUGUACCUGAGCGCGGCCGAGCUCCAGCCCUCCGAGAGCCUCCCGCUGGAGUUCAGUGAUGGCUUUCAAAAGAGGAUUUUCCCCCUUCUUUUCCCAUCGGGAAUACAUGAGGGAUUUAAUCCUGGAUUAUUCUGCCCUGCUCAUCUUAAACCCCUCGGAAAUGGGGUUAAACGAAAGCAAAAAGCACCGGAGCCCUUUGGAGCCGCUCCUGGAGGAGGCACCUCCAUGGGCUCCAAGGGCUCCUGCUGGUGUGUCCUCAGGACCUGGACGUGGUGGGUGACGGGCUCCAGUGUCCCCCCUCGCCUCUGCUCUUUGACCCCUCCGUGGCGCUGGAUCAGUCCCUCCGCGAUGUCGCCGAGGCCGCAAUAGACAUCCUGGCCCUGGAGGAGCCUUCGGGGCCCUCGGAGCGGGGCAGCUCCUCCAGCCACAGCUUCCCCCCGGGCACCGACCUGCAGCAGAGCCCCCUCGCACCGGAGGAAGCCGCUGCCUCCACCCAGCCCCAUGGAGCCGCCAACGGGAGCCUGGGGCCAGGAUCCGGGAGCGCCGGGACCUGAGACCUCAUCCAGGAGCUGUGGGGACCCCGGACCCCCGUCCGCGCUGUGGGGGGACACGGGGGGGGGUGUAAUGGGGAGGGGGUGUCCUCCCAUGGGGAACCCCCACAAUAAAGCGAUGGAGCUCGGUG